GGGCUACCUGCUGACGGGGAGCUGCCCUCGCUCCUCGCCCUCCCUGCGACCCCCACGCCGACCUCCAGCCGUUCCCUUGUGGUUCUGUAACGACGGGUUUUAGGAGCGUUUGGUGCUGUGACCCUGCAGAUGCUUUUACCGUCUUCAUUUCUUGGUCAAUGGCCCAGUCUUACUAGAGUGCGCUCUGCCGGUACGCCGCUUCAAAUCCUUUCCAGAAACUGAGUCUUAUUCCCCAAUAAACCUUUUGCACUCCCAACUCUAUGUCUACAUCUGCUUCCCAAAGGACCCAACUGACACAUGCUGCCACAAGGAGGCAAACCACAAGAGAGGUUGGGAGUGAAUCGAGGAUGUUGCCUAAGAUGGAACACACAGCCCAUGCCUUACUCUGCAACAGAGAAAGCAUAGAGAAAAGAGAGAGGAAGAUGAUGUUUGUAAUCCUGUCACUCCUCCAGCUAAGUGUUGUGGCCCUCCGCCCUGAAGAGACCCUCCCUGAGGAGGCUGAAAUGAAGGAAUAAAGUUGAAAGAGGUCCUGUUAUAGAUGACGUAUUAUCACUCUGAAGACUUGCCUAUUGGAAACAAGCUCUGGUGGUUGUAUUUUCUUUCUAUAUUACAAUCUGGUAAAGUGGUUGUUUAACAAUCUAUACCAGAUGAAUACAAUGAAACAAACAAAUUUAUUAAAAUAUACUAUAUUCAGAGAGCUAUGCUUCUUUCCAACACAUGGCCAGCCUAUGACUGAAGCUCUGGGCUCUUAAAAUCAUUAAAUUGAGUUGGGAAAAUUU
rnacentral:lncRNA from 1 species